UCUUUUUUUAAGUCUUUCUUUUUUUUUUUUUUAAAGACUUAUUUAUUUAUUUAUUUAUUUAUUUAUUUAUUUAUUACUUGUAAGUACACUGUAGCUUCAAACACACCAGAAGAGGACAUCAGAUCUCAUUACAGGUGGUUGUGAGCCACCAUGUGGUUGCUGGGAUUUGAACUUCGGACCUUUGGAAGAGCAGUCGGGUGCUCUUACCCACUGAGCCAUCUCACCAGCCCGAGGGGGGUCAUUCUUAUUCACACUGCCACAUCAAGCCCUCUAUUGUGUUUGUCCAAGAGGAAUUAAAGUGUAACCACCUACACACUUGUGUGUGGGCAUGAGGGUCCGGGGUUGGUUGAUCCAGAAACGAAGCUGGAUAUUCGGAUAUUCGUUCACAUGGUGUUUUAGAAGGGAGUGUAUGGGGGAGUGAAACUCAGAGCCUUGAACCUCAGGUUGAGCACCAGAUCACCAAGUUACACUCUAAGGAGUUCCACUGUAGCUGUACCCUUUAAUCUUUCCCACUCUGUCAGGAGCUUUUCUAGCAGUGUCUGGCGUGUCUGGGUUGUUGGACUCCCUGAUGUUCAGUGAUGUGCACCCUUUUCAUGCUCUUAUGUGCCCUUCUAUGCAUGUCAUAUCGGUGUGUGUUCUCCUUCAUGCUUAUAACUUGGAAUGCCUCAGGGUGGCCUGUAGUCUAUGGGAGUUCUCCAAACCAUUCAGGGACUCUGAAAGUAGAACAGUUUUCAUAGUAGUAAGUAAGGCACUGCUACUGCGAGCGCGCAUGUGUAAAGGCCAGCCUCAGGUAUGUUAGUACGGAAAAAAACUUCAAUUUUGACAGGGAUAUUGUUGUUUAUUUUAAUUUUAAGACAGUCUCACUCUGUAGACCAGGCUGACCUCAAACUCUUGAGAUCUGCCUGCCUCUGUGCCCCCCAACCCUGGGUACUUGGGUUAAAGGUGUGCACCACUGUACUGGCUCUGACUGGUUGUUUGUUUGUUUUGUAGAUUUACAGAGGUAGGUACAAUUGCAUGCCAUAAAAUGUUGCCACUGUAAAUGUAUAACCCAGUGAUUCUGAGUAAAUCUGCCCAGUUGUAUGUGCCUCACCUUAGUUCAGCCCUUAAGGACUUAGCACUCUAGUGAGACUGCUCAGUGCACACCCCUCCAUAGGAUGGUAGCCUUCAGGCUAGACAGACAGAGCAGCUAGUAGAUAGAGCACAGAGCUGGGCCCAGACCAUAAAGGCUGAAAGCUGCCACUUUGCAGGCAAUACUCUGGGGGUCUGGAGAGGUGGCCUAGCAAUUGGGAAUUCUUGCUACUCCUGCAGAAGACACAUGUUCAGUUCUGGCACACACAUGGUGGCUUACAACCAUUUGUAACUCCAGUUCCAGGAGUACCCUCUUCUCGCCUCCACAGGCACCAAGGACACACACAUGGUACACACAUAUAAAGACAUAUAGACAAAAAUCCCAUACAUAUAAAAUAAAAGUAAGUAAAUAUUUUCAAGAAGUGAGAACAGUCAGUGUGUGGGUGUUCAGAUCUGUUCUCCCAUACGAGAAUUUGCAGCACAGAGAACCAGCAUCGGCACUGAAUGUGCACACUGCCUCAGCAUGCAUCUGCUCAUAGUAGACGAUGCCAUCUUCUCCCAGUUGACAUACUCCAUAGACAUGUGCUGAUAUGUUUAUAUCUAAGUAGAUAAUUGACAUUUCUUAGUAGAAAUCAUGUUCAGGAGCAAAGGCUACCUGGACCGGCAGGAUUCUCCCAGAGUGGUUCAUGCAAGCCAGCAUGGGCAUUUAUCCCAGCUCUGUGAGCUACCAUCUCUUUAAAGUCUCAAAGCAUCUGUGAGUUCCUGAGAGAAGCUGUAGUCUCCUAUGUCUCUAAGCUGAGAGAAAGGACAAAAAAUUUCUUGUCACAGGAGCCAUUAUGUGCCCUGAGCCACUGGGUCUUAAGUCCUGUAAGGGCACAGAGCUAUAGGUCUGCAGUUUGCUCAGUUGCUUAAGGCUUAAUUAAUUGUAUUUCUGGAUAGUCUGCCUUCCUGUCAGGAAGAUUUUGUUAAGCCAGUGAAGCACUUCGACGUUUAUACGCGGGCUGUGUUUAUUACUUGUUUGUAGUUGCUUAGACUAGCUGAAAAGGGAACCAAGGCUUAUGAUAGAGGACCACUUUGUCAGAAUGUGCGCUCUGGACCAAAACAAGUGUUUUGUUUGUAAAGUGACAGUGUUAAACUAUCUUCACUGUUGUGGCAAGUGCUUUGCCUAUGGUGGUAAUCAUGCAGCUGAUGAGAACUGAUCCAAGCGAUAGAUCACAAGCUUAAAGGCCAUUUCUGAACUUAACAGACACAUGCACUUGCUCAUGCACAUAGCCACCGUGUGCUUGCUCUUGCUGGCAUCUGCACGUUUGUAUGGAUGAAUCUCGGCCACUGGACAUGGGGACUGUGGCCAGCAGGUGAUGGGCAGCCACCUCCUGCCAUCUGUUUAGCUUCUUUGAUUGCUGCCGAGACAUCUGCCAUAGUCAUAUGUCAGUAUUACUGAUACAGUUUUAGGUCUGUUGCUACUAAUCACGUAGGUUCUUUUUUUUUUUUUUUUUCUUAAAUUGCUUACAGACAAGAGCAGUAAAGAUCAGGCCAAAGUGUAUAACAUAGUCAAGAAAAAUGGGGUAGACAUUUGGCGACUACAUGUUUGACUGCCCCUAAGUUGGUAACUACCUCUGCACAAGGUUCUGGAGACAUGGGAACAGGAGUCAGUAUGUAGCCCAGGCAUUCUCCUGAGUACUGGAAUCAAAGCUCUGCUGUCAUACCCACCCGGCUCUACUGUAUGCUCUUUAGAGAAUAUAUGCUUUAUUCACAUAUAUUCCUGAUUUUACUUCGUUUUACCAUAAAAAUUUUAUGUCAAAUAUCUACCCGUUGAAUAAGAAAUAAACCUCGGGAGUGCGUUCCUGCUACCCUCCCCAAUGGUUUACAUUCCUGAAUGAAAGACACAGCCUUUACAUUCUGAUAUGCUUUAAACAGUGCAACAGUUGGGCUACUUCCGAACCGCCACAUGGUUAAUCCACCUCCUGCCGAUAAUCCUGAGUUAUUACUUACUAAAUUCUAUAUUCUACUUUGGCUGCCCUGACUGGACCCUGCUCUCUCAACUCCUUAACAUGCCAGCUGUGCCUCCCUGUCCUUCACUCUUGUCAGGCAUUGUGUUUCUCCUCCUCUUCCUCCUCCUCCAGGUAUGGUGAAUCUCCUUUUCCCGCUUUUCUCUGUCCCAAGCCUGGGAAUCCUAAAAGUCCUGCCUCUGUCCACCUGCCCAGCCGUGGACUGGUGUCAUCUUUAUUUACCAUUCAGAGCCAACUGGGGGCAGGGUCCCUCAGUGUCUUACUUGUGGACCCUCGUGUAAGGAAUUUUGGGGACCCAGAUUAUCAUCAUAAUACAAGCAACAUUAGGCCAAACCUACUACAUUUCCCCAUUUUUGUCC
rnacentral:lncRNA from 1 species